AGGUUCGUGAAGAAAAUUUCUUGAAUCGAAUUACAGAUUGGAAGAAAAAAAAAUUGGAAGAAAAUAGAUCGAAACGUAAAAGAGGCUAACAUUGGAAAAAUUGAAAACACGCAAGAGAGAGGGAGGAGAUGCCGCCACGCGUCGGCCAGCGUACGGACGCAGUGGAAACGGUGAUCGACACGGUGAGGUGCAUCCUCACCCGGCAGCGGACACGCGUCAGGCACGAGGAUUCGAGCUGGCCCGACUCGGCACUGCACGAGAAUCGCUCCGUCCGUAAACUGCCCCGACCCGAUGCCUCUGACCCACGAUUGCUCGGGAAGCUACGCGUGGGCACGCACAUGUAGGAUCUGCGCGUAGAAACCUCCAGGGCGCGUGUAGGCACGACUUGUCAAGGAAAUUCCAGAAUUUUUGGAAUCCUUUCCAUCAAGAAAACUCACUCGGGAAGGCACGCGUCAACCAAGUGAGUGAUGUCAUGGUUCGAGCGGGAAUGCGUGCUGAAUCUUAAUGCCACAGAGGAGUGUCCCGGGGCGUCUAGGAGUCUAUGCAUAUUUUUGUUUAGAUCUGUCAUGCAUUGUUUUGUAAGCUAUUUACAUACUUUUCAUAGAACUCAUAAACUACUUGAACACCUUGUUUUGGAUUUCAAACUUUCUACACAAUUGCUAAAGUGUUUUUUUGUAA